CCGAGUGAGGGCCCCCGGCCCGACCUCCAACCCUUUGUUAUCAAAACCACUGUUGCCUCGGGGGCGACCCGGGCCCGUCGGCCCGGGGCCCCCGACGGACAAUCUCAAACACUGCAUCUUUGCGUCGGAUUACAAAGUUUAAUGAAUUA
rnacentral:misc_RNA from 1 species